UGUACGUACAUAGACAAUAUAUGUACAUACUUAUAUACAGAGGUGUUGGUUACGGUAACGGUGUCGCGAGUUCAAUGGUUUCUUUCCAUCUCAAAAUAUGCCCAACGCGCCUAAAGAAGUUUUCACUUCAAAAAAUAAAAAUAAAACAUUUACAGUGCGUGUUACAAUGUUAUCAAAAAUACAAGGCAAAAUGUAUGAAUACAACAUCCAACAGGUAUCUGCGAGGUAGUAUUUUGUUCUAAUUUCGUAUAAUCUACUCAUUUUACAACUUUUUUUAUAAUCUACUCUUUAAAGGUCACCGUAAACAAAUGACUUCUAUGUUCAUUUACUCACUGCAGAUACUAUGAACGUUUCUGCUAAUUGAUUACGAUUUAGAAAACCGAUCCUGACCUUAACCUGCGUAUCACUUUAACCAACUAACAAAAUGCUCCUAAACACAUCUUUAUGAUGACGAUAUAAGGUACACAAUCGAUUGAUGUGACUGUUGAGUUAAGUUUGCAUACUUUCAGUUGUUUCUUCUUACUUCUUAAAUACCACACCUGUUUCUGCCUUUGAACAAAUCUGUACUCUAUUUUAUCGACGUAAGGUUGCUUUUACAAUUUGUCGUUGAAUAGAUAAGAUUUUUAGAAAGUAAUUUGUAGAUUCGCUACCAUCUUACUGCAUUUCAUUCAAAGCCAUCUUUAUUCUUAACGGAAUAAAGUACCAAAUGGUUCAAUCUAACAGUAAUAUAAAUUUGUAUAUGCUGUUUGUAUUUACUAGCAAAUGAGUUGUUCAAAUAAAGAUCUGUGCUAUUCAUUGACGCUCAAUGAAUGGUGUUGUGUGCGACUACUGUUUAGACGAAAGAGCUUAUGUAACUAGUAAAAUAUUGUCGGUUACGCCUUUAUGGUUUUGAAUGGGGUAUUUUUGUUCGUAAACUUGAACUCGUUACGCGUAGAGUUGUUUAGCACUUUUGUUGCCAUUUGUUCUUGAGUGCAUUUUGUAAGGUUGAUGUUUUAGUUUUUUACAACUAAAUUGUGAUGUUUGUAAGUUAGUUUAUUUAGGGUAAAUGCUUAUGUAACUUCGAUAACGAUGACAACCAUUGUAUGUCGCUGUAGCCACCGUGCAGGUCAGGAUCUCGACGACUUAAAUAAAACUUCGAUUUAUAAUGAAGUGUUAGGUAUAAUCUUCCAAAAGUUACUGGUUUACAAGGGUUCUUGCCAAAACGGUUAAAUGUAGAAAGUGGGUGUUGAUAGUAUGGAAGAUGAUAAGAGUGAUUUGCAAUAUUUGAUCAGUACAAAAAGUGUUUUAAAUUUAGAUGCUUCUAAUUGGCCGCGAUACAGAAUAUGUGGAGCGCUCCUAUUGGUGCUUUUGAAAAGCCUCCGAAUACUAGCCGAGCCCGACGGCUGCGUUUAGCUACUGCAUUGGGAAUAUUUUUACAUAUUAAUAAGUUGCACUCGCAACAGUCGCUACCAAGUUGAACUGAAGCAAUCGGAAUUUUGAAAAACAACGUACAGUCAACCAAUUUGAAUCCUACGCCACUAUAGAACCUUGUCGCUUUAACUAGUCUAUACAUGACAUGCAUCACUCAAUAAGCACUGUCGUAGAAGUCAUUAUGACAUGGUUCUAUAGUGGCCUAGGAAUCAAAUUGGUUGAACGUACCUAACCUCAAGAAAUAAUAAUUAAUGACACCACUUUUUCUUAUAUCUUUAUUUAUUGUUCUCUCUACUGACUGAUUAAUCACACAUCGAAUAACUUUGUUUCUGUAAAAUAGUUACCAAAUUAUGAAUAAAAAAUAUGGCGUACUUAAGUUUUUUUUUUAUACUACGUCGGUGGCAAACAAGCAUACGGCCCACCUGAUGGUAAGCAGUCUCCGUAGCCUAUGUACGCCUGCAACUCCAGAGUUACAUGCGCGUUGCCGACCCUAAACCCGCCUCCCCUCGUUGAGCUCUGGCAACCUUACUCACCGGCAGGAACACAACACUAUGAGUAGGGUCUAGUGUUAUUUGGCUGCUGUAUUCUGUAAGGUGGAGGUACUUCCCCAGUUGCGCUCUGCUCUAGAUCUGGAAUGACAUCCACUGGCUGUGCCCUACCACACAAAGCGAGAUGACAUUAACAAUGCCCAUACCUCUCUUAUGGACGUAGUUUAAGGACGUACCCGGGUCCGAAGUUCCAUACGGUUAACAUUUGUAGAUAAGCAUUUGGAAAUGUUAGAAUAGUGUCUGUUUUUACAGUUUUUAGAUAAUUAUGUUUUGGCUAAUGUAAAAACAUUCCCGCACAGAAAACCCCGGAGUAUGCUUAUCUUUUUGCUAAAG